AAUAUUGGACAAUGGGUGAGAGCCUGAUCCAGCCAUCCCGCGUGAAGGACGACGGCCCUAUGGGUUGUAAACUUCUUUUGUAUAGGGAUAAACCUAGAUACGUGUAUCUAGCUGAAGGUACUAUACGAAUAAGCACCGGCUAACUCCGUGCCAGCAGCCGCGGUAAUACGGAGGGUGCAAGCGUUAUCCGGAUUUAUUGGGUUUAAAGGGUCCGUAGGCGGAUCAGUAAGUCAGUGGUGAAAUCUCAUAGCUCAACUAUGAAACUGCCAUUGAUACUGCUGGUCCUGAGUAAGGUAGAAGUAGCUGGAAUAAGUAGUGUAGCGGUGAAAUGCAUAGAUAUUACUUAGAACACCAAUUGCGAAGGCAGGUUACUAUGUCUUAACUGACGCUGAUGGACGAAAGCGUGGGGAGCGAAC
rnacentral:rRNA from 1 species